rnacentral:lncRNA from 1 species
CCUUUCUUAUGCCUGGAAUCAGAGUCUGUUGGAUCUCUUCCAGUUUCUGUGCCCGCUUUCUGUUUGUCAAAGCUGUUUCUGGGUAUGUCACCCUUUAAUAGACCAGCCUAGGCCAAUCCUCAGACGGUAACCAUGCGGCCAUCUUGGGGGACAUGUUCACCGUGACGUCAUAAACAACCUCAGAAGGCUAAGUUGUCCUGACAACCUCCAAGCACACAGAGAUUCAGAGCCAUCUCAGACCAGUCUGACUCCUCCCCCUUUCCAGAUUUACAUCCUCAUCGAUUUAGACUUCCGUGUAGGUGACAUCCUCUUCACCAGCGUAAGCCGAAUCACAGGCCCUCACCACACACUUGUGCCUCAUCAUCUCUUUCACCCUCCCCCACCACCCGCUUUGCCUCUGGGCACCCCCAAUCAAAUGUCCAGCGCCACCUGUUGGUUAGUGCUUCUUUUUUCUUCUCCUUGAAAGUGAGAUCCUACGGUAUUUGACUAUGUCCCUGGGGCCUGUUUCACUUCCCCUAAAACCCUCCCAGCCGUUCUGGUGGUCACAAAUGGCUGGAUUGCAUCCUUUGUUCCCGCUGAGUGGUAUGCCAUUGUGUGGCUAUAGCCCAUGUUCCUUCUCCAUUCUUCCCUUGCUGGGCACCAGGGCGGCUUCCAAGUCUUGGAGAGCGGGAGUAAGGCUGUGGUGAACUCAGCGGUGCACAUGUCUUUAGGCGGUUGUGUUUCCGAGUUCUUUGGCUAAACACGCCCCCGAGGAAUAGCUGGAUCCUAUGGGACAUGGAUUCUUAAAUUUCUGAGGCAGUUCUACACCCCCUCGGACGCCUGCCCCAGAAUGACUGAAGCAGUGGUGAGGAGGCUCACCCCCAGGAUUCCACCCGGCCCACCCCGGGCCACCGACCCAGAAG